AGGUGGAGUUCUUCCUGCUGUUCUUACUCAGAAAAGUAACAUCUCUUGAAAGCUGGGUUGGAGAUGCCAAAACAGGAAAACAACUUGGAUUUGAGGAAGGAGUAAAAGGCAGCCCAGUGACCCCAUCCCGGGCUGGGGAAGAAUCCUUGAGCCAGAGCUCGGCGCCGCAUCCAGAGCCUCACGACAGGAGCUGUGCCUCGAGUGGAGUCUUCUGGAGCUGUGAUGAAAAUAAGAUUAAAGAAGAAAUCAUUGGCAAUGUAGAGCUUCAACAACUGAACUGCUUCUUUUCAGUGGAUA